CCUGGACAUUUUCCUGAUCUUUACCUGUGAUUUUGACAUGCAUUACUUCUUGAAGAUGCUACCUCCCCAAUGGAGAAUGUUUCCAUCUGAUCCAGCUGUCCUUUUUCCUUCCUCAAGUGAUGGACCAACAGCCUAAGCACAAGGAGGCACUUCCCAGAGCAAGCAGUGGUUCAUUGGCAGCCUCUGCCACAGGAAAGAAGGCGAUGCCAGGCACGGGUCCAGACACAGGAGGUAAUUGCUGUGCUGGGCUCAGCCCUCGGCGGGGCUGUGUGCCAGCAGCUCUCCCCACAGGGCCGGCCCUUGCACAGCCCAGCAGCAGCCAAAGCUGGAGGUGCCUCAGCUCCGAGGCCUCUGGAGAUCAUUCCCACCCCUUGGGAAACGGGACUUGAGGAACAACAUCACUGCCUCUGCAGCUGUUCCCAGAGCUGGUCCUGAGUGCCCAGAGGCCCAAGGCACAGGAGCAGCCCUGAGUGGGAGCCAUGACAUGAGCCAGGGCCACAGCCAGCCCUGUCUCCCAACUGGGCACGGCCUGCACUGGCUCCUGACAGGGCCUGGCUCUGUCCCCUUGGGCUGGGGGAGCUGUCACAGAGCAGGGAGGGUCAGGGGUGGCUGUGGCUGCUCAGGGAUGGCUUUGGCCUGAGUCCCUGGAAGGAGCCACUGCCCAAGUGGCUGCGCUGUCCCCGGGCUCUGCUCCCGGCCUUCUGGGCUCUGUUGGGUGGCACAGCCUGUGCCAAGGGGCAGCAAGGUGCAUGCAGACCCCAGCCCUGGAGGAAACAGAGAAUGUACGGGAUAUACCCAGCAUGCUGCCAGCUCAGCAGUGCAGCACAGCAUGGACUCACACUGCCCAUUGCUUCCAUAGAUGCAACCAGCACAACACAAGUUCCUGGUUCCCAGAAGGUCAUUGAAAGGGCUUUCUGUCAGGGAAUGUUCUGCUGGAUAGAGCUAAUAGCAGGCGUGCUUUGUUUGGAGAUUAUCUUCAUGUUGUGCUGCUUUGGAAUCUGCUAUGUCUGGAAGAGAAAACGGAGCACUUCUGGACAGCAUUUGAAGGACAGUGGCUGCACUAAACACCCAGACAGCUUGAGCAGCACCUCUGGCUGUAAUAAGGGCCUGAUCAGCUCUCUGAAGAACCCUGCGAAGAGGAUCCCAGGACUGCUGUCUUUGAAGAAACCUCCUAUAACCCUGUAGAUCCCACGGCCAACUCUUCUCCCCAUGGGUAUCCCCAAGGUCCCUUCAGUCCCUUUUUUGAUCUCCCUCUGCCCCGGCCUAGCCCGUUCCUUAGUUCUUGUAGAGACCCCAAGACCAGCCCAGCACCCUCCAGCCCCACCUGAGACCAACAUGGCCCUUCCUCUGUCCCUGAGCCCCCUGGCCCUGCCCUCUAAACAGCACUGAAGGUGAGCCCAUCUGCCAGUGUAGGUGAUGGCCCCUUCUUCUCUUCAAAUAAAGAGAUGGAGCUGUUAGCCCA
rnacentral:lncRNA from 1 species